rnacentral:rRNA from 1 species
AAUAGAUUUUAUGUAUCUGGCUCAGAUUGAAACGCUGGCGGCAGGCUUAACAACAUGCAAGUCGAGCGAGAUGAGGUGCUUGCACUAUUCUUAGCGGCGGACGGGUGAGUAAUGCUUAGGGAAUCUGCCUAUUAGUGGGGGACAACAUUCCGAAAGGAAUGCUAAUACCGCAUACGCCCUACGGGGGAAAGCAGGGGAUCUUCGGACCUUGCGCUAAUAGAUGAGCCUAAGUCGGAUUAGCUAGUUGGUGGGGUAAAGGCCUACCAAGGCGACGAUCUGUAGCGGGUCUGAGAGGAUGAUCCGCCACACUGGGACUGAGACACGGCCCAGACUCCUACGGGAGGCAGCAGUGGGGAAUAUUGGACAAUGGGCGGAAGCCUGAUCCAGCCAUGCCGCGUGUGUGAAGAAGGCCUUUUGGUUGUAAAGCACUUUAAGCGAGGAGGAGGCUACUUAGAUUAAUACUCUAGGAUAGUGGACGUUACUCGCAGAAUAAGCACCGGCUAACUCUGUGCCAGCAGCCGCGGUAAUACAGAGGGUGCGAGCGUUAAUCGGAUUUACUGGGCGUAAAGCGUGCGUAGGCGGCUGAUUAAGUCGGAUGUGAAAUCCCUGAGCUUAACUUAGGAAUUGCAUUCGAUACUGGUCAGCUAGAGUAUGGGAGAGGAUGGUAGAAUUCCAGGUGUAGCGGUGAAAUGCGUAGAGAUCUGGAGGAAUACCGAUGGCGAAGGCAGCCAUCUGGCCUAAUACUGACGCUGAGGUACGAAAGCAUGGGGAGCAAACAGGAUUAGAUACCCUGGUAGUCCAUGCCGUAAACGAUGUCUACUAGCCGUUGGGGCCUUUGAGGCUUUAGUGGCGCAGCUAACGCGAUAAGUAGACCGCCUGGGGAGUACGGUCGCAAGACUAAAACUCAAAUGAAUUGACGGGGGCCCGCACAAGCGGUGGAGCAUGUGGUUUAAUUCGAUGCAACGCGAAGAACCUUACCUGGCCUUGACAUAGUAAGAACUUCCAGAGAUGGAUGUCGCGAAUC